AUGAGGAGACCUGCUGUUCUAAGGGACGAGGACCAGGCUAAAUCUGAAAGAAACAAAUCUGCUGAAUUAGAUUCUCCUGCAUCUGCGUUCUCCUCCUACGCCUGCGUUCUCCUCCUACGCCUGCGUUCUCCUCCUACGCCUGCGUUCUCCUCCUACGUCUGCGUUCUCCUCCUACGCCUGCGUUCUCCCCCUACAUCUGCGUUCUCCUCCUAUAUCUGCAUUCUAUUUUUACACCUGCCUUCUCCUCCUACAUCUGCCUUCUCCUCCUACGUCUGCGUUCUCCUCCUACGUCUGCGUUCUCCUCCUACGCCUGCGUUCUCCCCCUACAUCUGCGUUCUCCUCCUAUAUCUGCAUUCUAUUUUUACACCUGCCUUCUCCUCCUACAUCUGCCUUCUCCUCCUACGUCUGCGUUCUCCUCCUACAUCUGCGUUCUCCUCCUACGCCUGCGUUCUCCUCCUACAUCUGCGUUCUCCUCCUAUAUCUGCAUUCUAUUUUUACACCUGCCUUCUCCUCCUACAUCUGCCUUCUCCUGCUACGUCUACGUUCUCCUCCUACGUCUGUCUCCUCCUCCUACGCCUGCCUUCUCCUCCUAACCCUGCCUUCUCCUACGUCUGCGUUCUCCUCCUACAUUUGCGUUCUCCUCCUACGUCUGUCUCCUUCUCCUAUGUCUGCGUUCUCUUCCUACGUCUGCCUUCUCCUUCUAUAUCUGCAUUCUCUUUUUACACCUGCCUUCUCCUCCUACGUCUGCGUUCUCCUCCUACGCCUGCCUUCUCCUCCUUCGCCUGGUCCUCCUCUUGCGUCUGUCUCCUCCUACUGUACGUCUGCCUUCUCCUCCUAUUUCUGUGUUCUUCUUUUACGCCAGCCUUCUCCUCCUACGUCUGCGUUCUCCUCCUACGCCUGCUAUCUCCUCCUACGCCUGCCUUCUCCUCCUAUAUCUGCGUUCUCCUGCUACGUCUACGUUCUCCUCCUACGUCUGUCUCCUCCUCCUACGCCUGCGUUCUCCUCCUACGCCUGCCUUCUCCUCCUAUGUCUGCGUUCUCCUCCUACCUCUGCGUUUUCGUCCUACGUCUGCCUUCUCCUCCUAUAUCUGCAUUCUCUUUUUACACCUGCCUUCUCCUCCUACGCCUGCCUUCUCCUCUUUCGCCUGGUCCUCCUCUUGCAUCUGUCUCCUCCUACUGUACGCCUGCGUUCUCCUCCUACGCCUGCCUUCUCCUCCUAACCCUGCCUCCUCCUACAUCUGCGUUCUCCUCCUACGUCUACGUUCUCCUCCUACGUCUGCCUUCUCCUCCUAUAUCUGCAUUCUCUUUUUACACCUGCCUUCUCCUCCUAACCCUGCCUUCUCCUACGUCUGCGUUCUCCUCCUACCUCUGCGUUGUCCUCCUACAUCUGCGUUCCCCUCCUUCGCCUGGUCCUCCUCUUGCGUCUGUCUCCUCCUACUGUACGUCUGCCUUCUCCUCCUACGUCUGCCUUCUUCUACGUCUGCGUUCUCCUCCUACGUCUGCGUUCUCCUCCUACGCCUACGUUUUCUCCUACGUCUGUCUCCUCCUCCUAUGUCUGCGUUCUCCUGCUACCUCUGCGUUUUCCUCCUACGUCUGCCUUCUCCUCCUAUAUCUGCAUUCUCUUUUUACACCUGCCUUCUCCUCCUACGCCUGCGUUCUCCUCCUACGCCUGCCUUCUCCUUCUUCGCCUGGUCCUCCUCUUGCGUCUGUCUCCUCCUGCUGUACGUCUGCCUUCUCCUCCUAUAUCUGUGUUCUUCUUUUACGCCUGCCUUCUCCUACGUCUGCGUUCUCCUCCUACGUCUGCGUUCUCCUCCUACGUCUGCCUUCUCCUCCUACGUCUGCGUUCUCCUCCUACCUCUGCGUUUUCCUCCUACGUCUGCCUUCUCCUCCUAUAUCUGCAUUCUCUUUUUACACCUGCCUUCUCCUCCUAACCCUGCCUUCUCCUACGUCUGCGUUCUCCUCCUACGUCUGCGUUCUCCUCCUACGUCUGUGA
rnacentral:lncRNA from 1 species